rnacentral:miRNA from 1 species
GUGGAUUAGGCUUUGGCUU